GUGAGCAAGCCAGUAGGACAGGAGAGAGGAUGAGCCAGUUUGCAGAUCACGCCCCCAGGAUCUGGAGCGUUCCCCUGUUGGAGCUACAGGCGGACUACAUGGACGCCAACCACUGCAUUGAUGAAUUUCUCAAGCAGCUCGAGGAGGAACGUGCCAACAUCAGAAGGGAAAAGCUGGCCUUGGCUCGACUGCAGAGGGAAGUCGCACGGAGCAAGAGCGAGGGAACAAUGCGAGAAAAGCUGAUCCAUGAGCUAAAAGAAGAGCGCCGCCUGCGUCUGGAGAGCGAGAAGCGUCUCCGGGAAGUGACGGAGGAAUCCGAGCUGGGACGGGCGCAGAUCGUCUCCCUGCAGCAGCAAUUCUCCAGGAUGGAAGAGACGGUGCGAACGCUGCUGCAGAAUCAGGGAGUCGUGGAGCAGACUGCAGCAGACACGGCGGACAUCAUGAAGGCCUACAAAGAGAAACUCUCAGAGGAAGCGCACAAGCAGCAUGACGGCCCAGAAAAGACCGGCCCCCUGCCGGCAACUCAGACUGGGCAAGAUUCUGUGAUGCCGCUGCACGCCGAUGCCAGCCAAGCUGACGAGGACGAUGGCAGAACCAAGCUGUUGUUGGAACGACUCAAGGCCCUGGAGGAGAGGAACUCAGUCUUGGCCUUGGAGAACGAAAGCCAAAGGGAGCAGUACGAACGCUGCCUGGAUGAGGUUGCCAAUCAAGUCGUCCAGGCGCUCGUCACCCAGAAGGACCUGAGAGAGGAAUGUCUGAAGCUGCGCACUCGGGUUUUUGAUUUGGAGCAGCAGAAUCGGGCGCUGGGCAUUCUGUUCCAACAGCGGAUCAAGCCUGCAUCAGACCUGCUCCUCCAGAAACUCCAUUCACGAAUCAUGGAUCUGUCUGCGGCUGACUUGCUCCAGGAACCAGAGAAAAGCAAAGCCUUUUUACUGUCUAGGAACACCGAUUCUCCUUCCACUGAGAUCCAGAUGAAUGGAAAGUCAGGUCUCCCCAUCACCAAGUGUCUGAGCCAGCUGAGUCUGACAGCACCGGCGCCGGUAUACCCACGCAGCAGCUGUAGUAGCAGUGAGUUGUCUCUGUCGAGUGCAUGCAGCGAACUCUCCAGUGGUUCUUACACCUGGAAUGAUGGACGCUCAUGCGGGAAAGCGCAGUCAUCCCUCACCUGGGAGAAGAGGCUAAGUUUGGGUUCAUCUGCCCCAAGUAACAUCAGCGGACCCGUAGAGGAGCAGAUGCCCACCAGGCGCAAGGAGACCAACAUACUAGAGGGGCUGAGAAAGCUACAGAGGAGGAAGCAUAAAUCGUCCUCUUCCAGAGUCUCCAAGUCAGGCUACAAAGACUGCAUGAAUUCCAAUGAGGGCAUUUACUCACUCGGCAUCAAGAAAGGCAAGAAAGGGGUAUCCAAGCCCACCCACGUGGGAAGAGCUUCUGCUUUUGUAGGCAAGAGGUUCUUGUAUGAUUCCGAUGAUGCAGAUGAUGAGCUUGCCCAAUCUGGCCGUGCAGAUGACAUCCCCACUAAGGACAGCUGGUUGUACUGCACAAGGCUCUCCCACAGCAUCUCUGACAGCCUGUCUAGCUGGGAGGGAUUACAGGAGAUUGGCGGUGGAGGCGACAGUAGCUCCGGCCUUGCAGCGACAAAGCCCCCCACUGAAACAGACUCAAAGGAGCGUCCUGAGAAACUCAUGAGUUUCAUCAACAGUUGCCUUUCUGAGGGCGGGCGGCCAUCAGCUUUCACUCGAGUUUCAAUGCUGCAUGUUACCCCUUCAAACCCAGACGCCUCCAAUUGCUUUUCAGAUAUGGACGAUCUAGAGGAACUCAGCUGUGAUUCUAGAGACUUGUGGAUACCCUUAAGCCAACAAGCAGAGCAAAAAGAGAGGAUUUCUAGGGAUACUGCCAAGUUGCUCAUCCCACAGCGCUUGCAUAGGGACCAAGGACGCACCCAGUCUGCAGAUGGGAGACCAGAACCGGUCAGCCUAAUUAAGGAACCUAAAGCGGGCAAGAGCAUGUCUGAGGAGAGCGUCUCGGCAGUAUUUGACGCACAAGGGCAGCCUAUUGAACUGAGUCCUCAGAAACCUGACAAAUGUGCUGUCCCUGAAAUUGGUGUUCCAGCUGGUAAGGUGGUGGAAUAUAAUGAACUAGCCCCCCAGGAGACGCCAACAAGACAGAAAUCAGCAAAUACAGGAAACUACACAGUCGUAGACUCGCCAGAGAAACCAUCUGAAUAUGAGAUCAGGACGAGCAAAACAAGAGAUAGCAGGGCGGGAAAUACAGAACGGUUGUCAGUGCAGUUAACGCCACAGAAGAAGCUUAUCAAACCACCAGGCAGUCGAGCGAAUAAAGAUCAUUCUAUCCCUCCCGUUAACGAGUCUGCCAGUACUAAGUCUGGUAGUUGUAAACUACCCGGUUACAAUAAACCAUCCUCUUCCCCAAUUAGAUUGUCUAAGGGCACUACCACUGAGCCCAGUAACAGUGGGAACUCAGGAACUCCCGGUCAGGAAAAAACACCCCCACCUCCAACAACUAAAAUGUCCAGGUUCAUCAAGAGCUCACAGAGCCCCAAGGUGGGGAACUCCAAGUUGCCAAGCAGGGUCGAAUGGAGUAAGGGCUCUUCUCCCGGUUCGCCUCAACUCUCAAGGAGACACGUACAGUAUGCUGACAAUGGUGAACAGCCAACCAGAGACAAACACUGUGAAAGCAUCAAAAACAAACUCAGGUCGCCUUCACCACCCCUUCCGCCUGGCCGCACCACCUCUUUACUGAUCAAACCAAAUUAUGAUGGGUCGCCUCAAGCACAUAAAAUAGGGGUGGCUCAGCCAUCCACACCAACCACUGUGAGGGGCCCUCCCCCAAGUUACCACACAUCUCUUCAACCAAAUAUGCAAGCUACACUACCCAUUAAGGAUAAAGAGUGUUUAGACAUGGAUGCAGGCUACGGGACUGCACUUGCACCUCAGAAACUGGUUGACAAAACCAGUCAGCACCUUCAAAAGUCCCAAGCCGUGAUACCUAGUACAGGCACUCCCAAGCGGAUGACGACAAAAGACUACCUCCCUCCCGCAAACUCAGGAUUGGACCUAGAUUCCGAAAAUGCACCUAAAAACUCAAAGAAUGUCCCUCCGCCUUACGGUGCCCUCAGAGGACCCCCUCUUCACAACUCGUUUGCAAGUAAGAGAGGAUCUACCCAUGAAAAUGACCAUCAGUCUGUGCAAAAAACCCCAGUUAAUUUAUCUAUAUCAGUUAAGGAAGCGCCUCAAUCUAAAACAGAGCUACAAAAUGGUAAAACAGUAGUCAGCCCACCAAGCUCGGUGGUGACAUCGCCUAACUCAACAGAAAAGAGCCAAAAGACUCGCAUCCCAAUGGGUUUUAAAGCAUUUUUAAAAUCACCCCCUAGUCAUAAAAAUAGUCUCUCUUUAGCAGGAAAGCAAGAAAAAGAUCAUAUCAACUUAGUCUCCAAGGAGAAUGUGACUUCAAAUGCCUCUAGCCAGUGCGACAGCUUGCAGCCUGUGUAUAGUAUCGAUUCCCUACCCAAGAUGUCUGUUACAGAGGGGAAAAGUGAGGUCCACUGUAGGUCACUGGAGGAAGAAAUAAAUCCCGCUCUGACAGCAGAGGAGGAGGACGUCUGUGAUAAAGGGAAAAGGAGCAGUCAACUUUUCUCUAGAUCCAUAUCUAUCACCACCAAACCCCAUCUAAAGCCAGCCUUGGGAAUGAACGGGGCAAAGGCCCGCAGCCAGAGUUUCAGCACCAACUACACUGAAAAGCCCCACAUUAAUGUUCUAGAGGGCCCAGGAAAAAUCAGAACUCAGAUUAUCACCAACUCGACGGAAAGGGGGAACUCUCUGUCUAGACAGGCUUCCUUGGAGGUACCCAGCGUUGUUGGACUAGCAGAGAGUCCAGUCCAUUCUCCCAGGACAAGACUCAGCUACUAUGGAGGUAUGACUGGGGUUAACAAUCAAAAUGGACUACCUGAGAAAAUGGCCAAGUUAAGCUUCAAAGGUGAUGGAUCUCAGUGCAUUGUGAAGGGGGAGACAGUAACCUCUCACAAGGAGGCGCAUGGUUUUCCUAUCAGUGAAAAGACUGGUCUGAGUAACCAGUCUUUAAAUAUCUGUAAGUCUGGGAAAGUCACCUCAGAGUUUCAGUCUGCGGCCUCUUGUCCUUAUAGCCCAGAAAACUGUGUUCGAAAGACAGGAGGUACUGCGAGCAGCCCUAAUGAGCCAGAAUUUAGCUCGGAGGUAAAAACCCAGUCAGACUCACCAGACAAACCCUCAGAUAUGGGGGAGAAAAAAAUCAGCCCAUCAGCCUGCACUAUUGAAGAGAAGGUCAUGAUGGGAAUCGAAGAAAAUCUGCAAAAAUGUCAAGAACAACAGAAGGUUGCUGCGAGUGAGUCCAAACAGAAGACGGGUCCCUCUCUGGCAAACUGGUUUGGCUUCCGGAAGAGCAAACUUCCAGCUAUGGCUGGAAAGAAAGCAGAGUCGCCAAAAGGAAAAGAGGAGAGGAAAGAACUGAAGAUUGGAUCUGUGCUUGGUGGUAAACAGACCAGGUUGGACAAAAAGAAGGAGAAGAAGAAGAAUGACAGUCUCGAGGCACAGAAUCAGUCUGAGAUGAAUAACAAGCUCAGCUCCAUCAUGGACCACUGCAACAAUCAAAUGGGCCAGAUUGCCACUCAGAUCCAAUGCACAACAGCGUUCAUUGGCAAGGACCAGUUUGUCAAGGAGCUUCUUGGCAGGGCUGCUGGAAAGAGCAGCUUGGUAGUCGCCUCUCCGACUGGAAUUUCCAGUCCCAGAAAACAUACUGAGAUGAAGGGCAAUAUGAAAAUCUGUCCAGACACGGCUACCCUCCUCAUUAGUGAGAAGAUCAACCUCAGGGCGGACAACAAAGAGGGGCGAAUGGCAGACACUGCUUGUCAAGACCACAUGAUGGGCACCGGGUGUCAGAUGAGAACACUCGACAGCGGGAUCGGCACCUUUCCUCUCCCUGACUCUGUCACCCGGGCUUGCGGUCGCCACAUCCCCAAAUCUGAGUCUAGCCCGAUUGGGAUGACCGCCGAGUUCCAGGCAGGGUCUGCCUCUCCUCAUACAGACCCCUCACAACCCCAUGUCAAAGUGCCUUCCCUUCCCAACACCCACCUGCAUGCUCCUGCCAGCUUGAGUCACUCCCUUUCCGACCCAUCCGUGACCUGCAGUGGUGACGUCUCGGACGCCCAGACUCGAUUGCCCCAACUGUCCCGUGCAAGUAGGACCAAGAGGCUGAGUCUGUUCACCCCACAGAGCAGCGGCUUGUCCUCCACUGAGGCCAAAGAGGAUGAAAAUGGGAGGAAGACUGAAAUACCUGUGGAGAGAGCCUUGCUGGUGUGCAAUACGUAUUCAGGCAGCAGCAGUGGCAGCGACACCGAGACAGAACUCGAGCGACCCAGGAGCACUUUGAGCCCGCUGCAAAGGCCGCGUAUCAACCGCUGCGAAACGGACGACUCGGCAGCAGAGAAGACGCUGAGGAGGGGCAGCAUGGACAGCUCCUUGUCUGUCAUGCACUUGUACCAGCAUGAGAUGUUCUCUCACCUGGCGGAGGGCAGCAACAGGAUCUGCGACUACAACCUGUUGCGCAAAGACACGCCCCUGCUAGCAGGAGACCUACUCAGUGUGAGUGCUGAAGCCCCAAGGCUUUCUUUCAGGGGGAGAUUUUCAUAGCAAAAGCCGACUAAUUGCUUUCGAUCGGCUCGCCAUCUCGUGUCAGCGGGUAUUUGCCUACCCAUAUUUAACAACGCCCAAUGACAAAUGAGGAUCAGGGACCGUGAAAUGGCCUCCAGCCGCAGCCACAGGACAGCCCAGCUCCCCUCCACUGCCCCGAUGCCGGGCCUGACAUAAAAAUCUAUAUACCCAGAAAAAAAGCAUCUGACUCAACACUUGUGUACAUUUGAGUUUGUUCCGUGGGUUUUAUUCUUGACCUUCACUGAACUCAAACGAGAUGACUUUAAAUGGAAUCACACUUUAUUGUCAUUUUAGCAGACGUGCAGUAGUGAUGAGGGCAUGUUCGAGUGAGCAGCAAAUACCCGCUGCAGUACAAUUACUUAAAACAUGCGUAAAGUACACAAAAACAGGGGUGUCAGAAGUGCAUUUGGGACCCACGGCUGUUUUUGUAUUGGCCCGCGGCACAUUCUAAAAACAUAAUUUAGCAAGAACAAUUUUUUAAGAAACAGCAAAAAUGUAAAAAUCAGCAGUCAUUUCCCAAGAAUAAAGUCCAACUACUAAGAAAAAAAAAGAUGUAAUCCAUCAAGAAUAAGAGUUUUUGGUUGCAUAAAGUUGAAUAUGAAAGAAAAAGAGGAAAAACAAGCAAAACAAUGAAUAAAGUUGUCAUUUUUGGAAAAUUAAGGACAAACGUAACGGAAAAACGUAUAAUGUUACCAAAAUAAAGUCAAAAUAUUAUGGGAAUAUAAAGUCAUCAUUACAAGAAGAAAAUUUACAAGAAGAAAGUUGGAAGAGAAGAGAAAAAAAGUCCAAUUCUCCAGAGGAAUAAUGAUGCAAUUUGAAUAUGUUGAGAAGGAAACAAAACAAAAUAAGCUGUAAUUUGGGGAAAUUUAGAUUCCUGAAAAAGUUAUACUAUUAUGGGAAUAAAGUCAUAUCUAAGGUUCUAAUGUAUUCUAACAAGAAAAAAAUGUCAUAAUAAAAAAAAAUUAACGCCUAAUAUUAUGAGGAAAAAUAAUGAAUUUAGUCGCACAGAGUUGAAAUAGAAAAGAAAAAAAUGUGUGAUUUUUAAGUUGGAAUAUUUUAAGAAACAAGCAAAAUUUUGGUUGCAGAAAAAGUCAUAAUAUUAUGGGGAUAAAGUUAUAAUAUUAUGGGGAUAAAGUCAUAAUAUUAUGGGAAUAAAGUCAUAAUAUUAUCAGGAUAAAGUUAUAAUAUUAUGGGAAUAAAGUCAUAAUAUUAUCGGGAUAAAGUUAUAAUAUUAUGGGAAUAAAGUCAUAAUAUUAUUGGGAUAAAGUUAUAAUAUUAUGGGGAUAAAGUCAUAAUAUUAUGGGAAUAAAGUCAUAAUAUUAUGGGAAUAAAGUGUAAAUAUUAUGGGAAUAAAGUCAUAAUAUUAUCGGGAUAAAGUUAUAAUAUUAUGGGAAUAAAGUCAUAAUAUUAUGGGAAUAAAGUCAUAAUAUUAUGGGAAUAAAGUCAUAAUAUUAUCGGGAUAAAGUUAUAAUAUUAUGGGGAUAAAGUCAUAAUAUUAUGGGAAUAAAGUCAUAAUAUUAUGGGAAUAAAGUGUAAAUAUUAUGGGAAUAAAGUCAUAAUAUUAUGGGAAUAAAGUGUACAUAUUAUGGGAAUAAAGUGUAAAUAUUAUGGGAAUAAAGUCAUAAUAUUAUGGGAAUAAAGUCAUAAUAUUAUGGGAAUAAAGUGUAAAUAUUAUGGGAAUAAAGUCAUAAUAUUAUGGGAAUAAAGUGUAAAUAUUAUGGGAAUAAAGUCAUAAUAUUAUGGGAAUAAAGUGUACAUAUUAUGGGAAUAAAGUGUAAAUAUUAUGGGAAUAAAGUCAUAAUAUUAUCGGGAUAAAGUUAUAAUAUUAUGGGAAUAAAGUCAUAAUAUUAUGGGAAUAAAGUCAUAAUAUUAUGGGAAUAAAGUCAUAAUAUUAUCGGGAUAAAGUUAUAAUAUUAUGGGGAUAAAGUCAUAAUAUUAUGGGAAUAAAGUCAUAAUAUUAUGGGAAUAAAGUGUAAAUAUUAUGGGAAUAAAGUCAUAAUAUUAUGGGAAUAAAGUGUACAUAUUAUGGGAAUAAAGUGUAAAUAUUAUGGGAAUAAAGUCAUAAUAUUAUGGGAAUAAAGUCAUCAUUACGAGAAGAAAACUGCACAAGAAGAAAGCUGAAAUAUUUCAAAAAUGCAAAAAAAGAGCAAAGUUCACAGUAAUAAUGCGCUUUUCCACCGGCACUACCGGUCAAAAGUUUUGGUACAAAGGUAAGUGGUGAUGUGCCAGUGGUUAAAAAAAAGGUAAUGUUACCCAGAACUGGAAACUAAUGUGUAUUUCAGAAUGAUACUGUUUCAGGGACCACAAAAUGGGUCAACAAUUAAAGCUGUUGUGCAGAAAUGGAGGUUGAAGAAGCCUUGGCAGUUGGUGCAAGUCAUCCCUACAGGAGUACUUGCUGCCUCCUCUGUCUGCAUAAAAGCAGUGUUGGGAACACACUGCGGGACUACACCCUGGUGAACACGAGCAGCAUUGUACUGGAGAAAGUCAUUUGUUGCUACAAAGAUGGCAAGAAAAAAGGGGAAUGAACGAUGGAAGAGAGACGGAGCAUCUUAACACGUAAAAAGUGGAGGUUCCCCAGGAGAAAACUGUCAUUGGCGGCAACAAGCCGGGCUCUCUGGACGACACCACGGCGUCCCUCAGCAAUCUCAGUCACAGCAGCAUCCUGAAAGAGGCCGCUGCUGACGGCGGAAGGCGUGAGGCGAC